rnacentral:rRNA from 1 species
AUUGAACGCUGGCGGCAGGCCUAACACAUGCAAGUCGAGCGGAGCGGCGGACGGGUGAGUGAUACCUAGGUAUCUGCCUGAUCGUGGGGGAUAGCGUUCAGAAACGGAAGCUAAUGCCACAUCCUCUCAGCUUCGCCUAGGUCGGAUUAGCUAGUUGGUGAGGUAAUGGCUCACCAAGGCUACGAUCCGUAACUGGUCUGAGAGGAUGAUCAGUCACACUGGAACUGAGACACGGUCCAGACUCCUACGGGAGGCAGCAGUGGGGAAUAUUGGACAAUGGGCGAAAGCCUGAUGCAGCCAUGCCGCGUGUGUGAAGAAGGUCUUCGGAUUGUAAAGCACUUUAAGUGGGGAGGCGUUACCGACAGAAGAAGCACCGGCUAACUCUGUGCCAGCAGCCGCGGUAAUUC